rnacentral:rRNA from 1 species
GAUGAACGCUAGCUACAGGCUUAACACAUGCAAGUCGAGGGGAAACGGCAUCGAAAGCUUGCUUUUGAUGGGCGUCGACCGGCGCACGGGUGAGUAACGCGUAUCCAACCUGCCCAUCACUUGGGAAUAACCUUGCGAAAGUAAGACUAAUGCCCAAUGACAUCCCACGAAGGCAUCCGAAUGGGAUUAAAGAUUUAUCGGUGAUGGAUGGGGAUGCGUCUGAUUAGCUUGUUGGCGGGGUGACGGCCCACCAAGGCAACGAUCAGUAGGGGUUCUGAGAGGAAGGUCCCCCACAUUGGAACUGAGACACGGUCCAAACUCCUACGGGAGGCAGCAGUGAGGAAUAUUGGUCAAUGGGCGAGAGCCUGAACCAGCCAAGUAGCGUGCAGGAUGACGGCCCUAUGGGUUGUAAACUGCUUUUAUAAGGGAAUAAAGUGGGUCACGUGUGACUUUUUGCACGUACCUUAUGAAUAAGGACCGGCUAAUUCCGU